AGCGAACGCUGGCUGCAGGCCUAACACAUGCAAGUCGAACGAAGUCUUCGGACUUAGUGGCGGACGGGUUAGUAACACGUGGGAACGUACCUUUUGGUUCGGAAUAACGCAGGGAAACUUGCGCUAAUACCGAAUGUGCUCUUCGGCGGAAAGAUUCAUCGCCAUUAGAGCGGCCCGCGUUGGAGUAGGUCGUUGGUGGGGUAAAGGCCCACCAAGCCUACGAUCCAUAGCUGGUCUGAAAGGAUGAUCAGCCACACUGUGACUGAGACACGGCCCAGACUCCUACGGGAGGCAGCAGUGGGGAAUCUUGCGCAAUGGGCGGAAGCCUGACGCAGCCAUGCCGCGUGAAUGAUGAAGGUCUUAGGAUUGUAAAAUUAUUUUACCGGGGACGAUAAUGACGGUACCCGGAGAAAAAGCCCCGGCUAACUUCGUGCCAGCCGCCGCAGUAA
rnacentral:rRNA from 1 species